rnacentral:rRNA from 1 species
AUUGACCGCUGGCGGCAGUCCUAACCCCUUCAAGUCGAGCGGAGCGGCGGACGGGUGAGUAAUGCCUAGGAAUCUGCCUGGUAGUGGGGGAUAACGUCCGGAAACGGGCGCUAAUACCGCAUACUAUCAGAUGAGCCUAGGUCGGAUUAGCUAGUUGGUGGGGUAAAGGCCUACACAGGCGACGAUCCGUAACUGGUCUGAGAGGAUGAUCAGUCACACUGGAACUGAGACACGGUCCAGACUCCUACGGGAGGCAGCAGUGGGGAAUAUUGGACAAUGGGCGAAAGCCUGAUCCAGCCAUGCCGCGUGUGUGAAGAAGGUCUUCGGAUUGUAAAGCACUUUAAGUUGGGAGGCGUUACCAACAGAAUAAGCACCGGCUAACUUCGUGAAAGCAGCCGCGGUAAUUC